rnacentral:rRNA from 1 species
UACGUAGGGGGCUAGCGUUGUCCGGAAUCAUUGGGCGUAAAGCGCGUGUAGGCGGUCCGGUAAGUCCGCUGUGAAAGUCGAGGGCUCAACCCUCGAAUGCCGGUGGAUACUGUCGGGCUAGAGUACGGAAGAGGCGAGUGGAAUUCCUGGUGUAGCGGUGAAAUGCGCAGAUAUCAGGAGGAACACCAAUGGCGAAGGCAGCUCGCUGGAACGGUACUGACGCUGAGGCGCGAAAGCGUGGGGAGCAAACAGG